UACGAAGGCUGCAACCGUUAAUCGGAAUUACUGGGCGUAAAGCGUGCGCAGGCGGUCGCGUAAGCCAGAUGUGAAAUCCCCGGGCCUAACCUGGGAACUGCAUUUGGUACUGCGUGGCUGGAGUGCGGCAGAGGAAGGUGGAAUUCCUGGUGUAGCAGUGAAAUGCGUAGAGAUCAGGAGGAACACCGAUGGCGAAGGGAGCCUUCGGGGCCAGCAUUGACGGUCAUGCACGAAAGCGUGGGGAGCAAACAGG
rnacentral:rRNA from 1 species